rnacentral:ncRNA from 1 species
UCUUAUCAAGAGUGGUAGAGGGACAGGGCCCAAUGAAACCCGGCAACCGGCAUUUGCACGGUGCCAAUUCCCCCGCAUUUUUUUGCGGAAGAUAAG